GUGCAGAGUUUAGAGGAGCUGGAGCUCUUUAAGGGAAACUCCUCCCUUAUUCCCAUCCACCACCACAGCAUCAUGUCUUGCUGCAGCUACUGGCAUAUCCUGUCUAGCCCCAUCCCCCAAUAUGACUGCAUUACAAACAAGGCUAGAAAGGCAACAACAAAAUUAAAGGACUCCACUGAAGAUGAGCAGGGAAAAAAAAUACCCACCACCAAACAAACAAUGAAAGGACAGACACCCUCAGGAACAGAAAGCACACAGAGAAAGUGACAGAGAGACAGAGAUACGAACAGCCGGCACAGCAGAAGUGACGGCGUAGGCUGGGACGCCUCACCCUGGGGAAGCGACGGCAGAAGGGGCCGCUGUGGGAGCCAGCAGUGUCACGGAGAAGGUCGCUGGCAUGGAAAUAGCAAAGGUAAUCUAGAUAAUCUGCUCAAGCACCAGCGUCACAAGAGGACCUCUUCCAUACAGAUGAUUCAGGCUGGACUGAGACUUACUCUACAUAUGAAGCUGGUUGGAGGGGAGGAGAAGAGGGGGACAUCUGCUUGAUGGCCUUUCUUUGGUAGGGUAAAUGGCAGCUUUUUAAGGCACUAUCUGUGUUUGGAAAGCCAGAGACAGAGGAGAACUACAGCAACAGCUACAACUGGAUUGACACACAAGCAGCCUUCUGACACAAGCAGAAGUAAGGCACAUCAUACCACUAUUCCCCUCAAAAUAGGGAUGUUUAUGGACUGUCACUGUGGGACUUUCAUACAGCAGCCACUGCACAAAGGCCUUCUAGGGAAUGCUACGCCUGAAGAGAGAAUUAGCACCAUUCAGAAUGAAGUUACUAAAAACAAUUAAAUAAAGCAAUCUUAUCAUGUUACAGAGGGGACUAGAAUAGACUAGAAUAGCCAUCUACAUUGCAAUUCACUCUCCAUUCUUACUGCAAGCAGCAGGAUGCUGCUUCUAAUUGGACAAAAGAAAAUUCCUCCAUAGGCAGAUAUAUUUCCCCUCAUGUUGCUUCUUCAGUCCAACAAGUAGGUAGCAGCCCUUUACGCAGGCCAGAUGUUGAACAGCAAUGGCUCAGCUUUCCAGCAAGUGACAGACUGACUGCAUUUCAUAUCACUGUCCUAGCUUGCAUACUUAAAAGAAAGGUCUCCCUAUUCACUUAGGUUGUAACAACAUGUAUGAAAAUGACCAGGUUUAUGCUGUUUCAAGUCCUGUCCACAGU